CGGGUGAGUAACGCGUGGGUAACCUGCCUCACACAGGGGGAUAGCAGUUGGAAACGACUGGUAAUACCGCAUAAGCGCACAGCUUCGCAUGAAGCGGUGUGAAAAACUCCGGUGGUGUGAGAUGGACCCGCGUCUGAUUAGGUAGUUGGUGAGGUAACGGCCCACCAAGCCGACGAUCAGUAGCCGACCUGAGAGGGUGACCGGCCACACUGGGACUGAGACACGGCCCAG
rnacentral:rRNA from 1 species